rnacentral:rRNA from 1 species
AACGAACGCUGGCGGCAUGCCUAACACAUGCAAGUCGAACGCCAUGGUUUCGGCCAUGGAGUGGCGCACGGGUGAGUAACGCGUGGGAACCUGCCCAGCAGUAUGGGACAACCGCGGGAAACUGCGGCUAAUACCGUAUACGCCCGUCUUUGGGAGACCAGGGGCGGGGAAAGAUUGAUCGCUGUUGGAGGGGCCCGCGUCGGAUUAGGUAGUUGGUGGGGUAAAGGCCUACCAAGCCUGCGAUCCGUAGCUGGUCUGAGAGGAUGAUCAGCCACACUGGGACUGAGACACGGCCCAGACUCCUACGGGAGGCAGCAGUGGGGAAUAUUGGACAAUGGGCGCAAGCCUGAUCCAGCAAUGCCGCGUGAGUGAUGAAGGCCUUAGGGUUGUAAAGCUCUUUCACACGCGACGAUGAUGACGGUAGCGUGAGAAGAAGCCCCGGCUAACUCCGUGCCAGCAGCCGCCGUAA